rnacentral:tRNA from 1 species
GGUAAGAUGGCUGAAUAUUAGGUGGUAGACUGUAAAUCUAUUUAUGGGAAUUAUUUCUCUCUUAUCA